rnacentral:lncRNA from 10 species
UGUGGGGUCAGUGUUUUUAUUUAUCAUCAAACUUCAGUAUCAAAACUCAGCCACAGCUGUUGCUAUAUGCAUUUGAGAGAUACCUGGGAGGAUAAAAUGGGAAUACAAAGAAUAAUCAUCUAGAGCAGCUAUGGUGAUUCAUUGAGAUAGCCCUUAUAAAGUGCUUUGCCCUUUAAGUGGCAGAAUAGAGGUAUAGUGAAGAAUGGGAACUCCGGAGCAAGACAGUCUGGCUCAGAUCCUAAGGAUGCCGCUUGCUAAUUGUAUGGAACUGUGCAACUGCAGUAUCCCAGAGGUCAAGUCUUCUUCAAGCUCAGCCCAGUGAGAUCUAAAAUUGGGAACUUACCAGAAACUAGCAGAAAAGUAUGGCAAAAAGAGAAAUAUGAUCCAAUGAUCCAACUCCAGAAAAACUCACUGGAUCGAGGUGAACACAGCCUCUUUAAAGCUCUUGCCAAUGAGCUGCUGGUCACUUUUUGCUGCUUGUCAUUCAAGCACUUUGACACGGACCUGAAGCUAUUAUCACAAGUGCCUAUUCCAUACUUCAUUCAACUUUUGGGAGUCUACCAAUGGUGUACAGGACCGAAUGUAAUCAAUAUCCCAAGAAGCAAAAGAGAUGCGCCUAGCAGAAGCAUCUUGAAGGUGUACUGUAUCUAUCACCAUGAAGUCUGCAUUCCCAUUUUUUUUUUUUUUUUUUUUUUGGCUUGGGAAGAUAACUGCAAAAGUUUUUUUUUUUUUUUUAAGAUCAUGUUUCUAACUAGCAGGUAUCAUGAAAACCUCAAAUUAUUGAAUAACAAUAGAAUUGUUAAACACUUUUAAAAAAGUCCUGUUAAGUAAUAUUUCCCCUAAUCACAAUUAAAGACAAUAAAUAAAUGGAAAUUACUUCUUUGAA